GGUUGAAUAGUGUAGUUGGUUAUCACAUCGGAUUUUGAUUCGGCCUCCGGGCUCUCCAGGCCUCUUCGAAAGAUUCCGGGAACUUGGGUUCGAAUCCCAGUUCGACCU
rnacentral:tRNA from 1 species